CCUCCCCCACAGCGGGGCCGGGGCCGGGACCCGCCCGGGGAGGGUGCAUCCGCCGCUGCCUGGCGCUGAAGGGAUAAGGGACCGCGCAGGGCGGGGGCGGCCGUGUCCGCAGGGUGCCGAGCGCCGUGGGAGCCCGAUUUUCACUCCACGUGUGAUUUCAAGAUGGGGUCCUCAAGGACCGGACGGAAUCCCUUAUAAUCCUGUGUAAUUUGAGUGCCCCUGCCUCGCUGCUUGGAAAAUCUCAGCCCCCCCCAUGCCGGAGAAGGCUGAAAGAAAGCUUUUGUUUUUAUUUAUUUUUGUUGUUGUCGUUCCUCCCCUACUCGGCGCUCGCUAGACCACAUCUAGUGUAACACACGGCCCCAGGUUUGGGUCCCCAGGGCAGGAAGGACUUGGAGAAGCUGGAGCGAGCUCAGCAGAGGGCUCCAGGACGGAUCAUGCUGGAGACCUCCCUGCGAGGAGGGUGGAGGAGCGUGACAACUGCAGCCAUGGCAGGGAUAAAAGAACACCCUCGGGCUGCAAGGGAUAUUGGUCAGGCGACCCCAGAGCUGCUGCAUUGUGCUUCCCUCCCUGGGCCAGAGCUGACAUCUGAAAACAACACAGAGCUUUGGACGGAUGUGUCACAAGAGCCAGGGCUGUAGUUCCUUGCUUUCAGAAGUGACUGAUUCUCCCAGGAGUUUCAGACAUGACCUUGGUUCUGGAAACAGGAACAAAUCAGUUGCUGAUAACUAUUUUCCUGAUGCUGAGGCCUUCUACAUGUGUGCAGGAUCAGAGCACUAAGAUAAUAUUACAGACCACAGCCUGAGCACAUGUCAGAAAUCAGAAGGAGGGAACAAGUCGUUCAGUAAUAAUAAUGCCUCCACAUUCACAGGCAGAUAAGGCUUUUCCUGCUUUCUGCUCAUUUAAAAUGUUGUUAUUAUGCUUAGACUAUAAUAAAUACAACAUGUGUUAGACACUC